GGGGGCCCGCAAGCGGUGGAGCACGUGGUUUAAUUCGAUGAUACGCGAGGAACCUUACCAAGGCUUAAAUGUACCACGAAUAAGUUGGAAACAGCUUAGUCUUCGGACGGGGUGCAAGGUGCUGCAUGGUUGUCGUCAGCUCGUGCCGUGAGGUGUUGGGUUAAGUCCCGCAACGAGCGCAACCCCUAUUGUUAGUUGCCAGCGGGUCAUGCCGGGGACUCUGACAAGACUGCCGACGUAAGUCGAGAGGAAGGUGGGGAUGACGUCAAAUCAUCACGGCCCUUACGUCUUGGGCCACACACGUGCUACAAUGGCCGGUACAGAGGGCUGCCACUGGGCGACCAGGAGCGAAUCUCUAAAACCGGUCUCAGUUCGGAUUGGAGUCUGCAACUCGACUCUAUGAAGCUGGAAUCGCUAGUAAUCGCGCAUCAGCCAUGGCGCGGUGAAUACGUUCCCGGGCCUUGUACACACC
rnacentral:rRNA from 1 species